AUACUAACCUUGCGUAGGGUGUACCGUGAUCACGAAGGCGGUUGCCCCGGGCCGGCGCCAGUCAUUGCACUGCGACUGGACAACGCUUGCUUGUGACUAUCUCUCACAGAGAUACGUCGUGCGUGUAAUUUUUGGUAGUUGGACUUGCGUUCUGCGCGGUCCAC